UGGGGAAUCUUCCGCAAUGGGCGAAAGCCUGACGGAGCAACGCCGCGUGAGUGAAGACGGCCUUCGGGUUGUAAAGCUCUGUUAUAGGGGACGAACGGCCGGGUAGCGAAGAGGUAGCCGGCAUGACGGUACCGUAAGAGAAAGCCACGGCUAACUACGUGCCAGCAGCCGCGGUAAUACGUAGGUGGCAAGCGUUGUCCGGAAUGAUUGGGCGUAAAGGGCGCGCAGGCGGCUGUGUAAGUCUGUCCAGAAAGUGCGGGGCUAAACCCCGUGAGAGGAUGGAAACUGGACAGCUGAGAGUGUCGGAGAGGAAAGCGGAAUUCCUAGUGUAGCGGUGAAAUGCGUAGAUAUUAGGAGGAACACCGGUGGCGAAAGCGGCUUUCUGGACGACAACUGACGCUGAGGCGCGAAAGCCAGGGGAGCAAACGGGAUUAGAUACCCCGGUAGUCCUGGCCGUAAACGAUGGGUACUAGGUGUAGGAGGUAUCAACCCCUCCUGUGCCGGAGUUAACGCAAUAAGUACCCCGCCUGGGGAGUACGGCCGCAAGGCUG
rnacentral:rRNA from 1 species